GCGCCUUUGACCGAGUGACUAGGUAGGAAAUUGCAAACUUCCGUAGACUGGUUAAAAUCCAGUAAGGUGCU
rnacentral:tRNA from 1 species